AACAAAAUUUAAACACCAACUCAAUUAAAAUGUAAAAGUUAAAGAUCGACUCAUUUAAAAAAUAGACUGUGCAAUUAAAUGCAAUAAAAAGUAAAUUGGAAACAAAUGUUAAUCCUCUAUGAUAGUAAGGAUAAAAAGAUGGAAACCACUUGCAAGGGGGUGACAUUAUGGGGUAUCAUUACAAUUCUACUCAAUUAUACCUCACUAAAAACAUUCUUCUUGGAUAUUCCCUCACUUUAUUAUUGACUUCCUUUUAUUUUCCAUCAUAUAUUCUCCCCCCC
rnacentral:lncRNA from 1 species